rnacentral:rRNA from 1 species
GCGCACCUUCGGGUGAGCGGCGGACGGGUUAGUAACGCGUGGGAACAUACCCUUUGGUACGGAAUAGCCUCUGGAAACGGAGAGUAAUACCGUAUGAGCCCUUCGGGGGAAAGAUUUAUCGCCAAAGGAUUGGCCCGCGUUAGAUUAGGUAGUUGGUGGGGUAAUGGCCUACCAAGCCUACGAUCUAUAGCUGGUUUUAGAGGAUGAUCAGCAACACUGGGACUGAGACACGGCCCAGACUCCUACGGGAGGCAGCAGUGGGGAAUCUUGGACAAUGGGGGCAACCCUGAUCCAGCCAUGCCGCGUGAGUGAUGAAGGCCUUAGGGUCGUAAAGCUCUUUCGCCUGUGAAGAUAAUGACGGUAGCAGGUAAAGAAACCCCGGCUAACUCCGUGCCAGCAGCCGCGGUAAUACGGAGGGGGUUAGCGUUGUUCGGAAUUACUGGGCGUAAAGCGCACGUAGGCGGACUGGAAAGUUGGGGGUGAAAUCCCAGGGCUCAACCCUGGAACUGCCUCCAAAACUAUCAGUCUAGAGUUCGAGAGAGGUGAGUGGAAUUCCGAGUGUAGAGGUGAAAUUCGUAGAUAUUCGGAGGAACACCAGUGGCGAAGGCGGCUCACUGGCUCGAUACUGACGCUGAGGUGCGAAAGUGUGGGGAGCAAACAGGAUUAGAUACCCUGGUAGUCCACACCGUAAAC